GUGAGAAAUUCGUCUUCUCUGAAUUGACUGAAGGAUACAGGGGAGGAGGCAGAGAGUGAAUGGAUGGGACUGUGGACGAUAAGGAUAUGUGGACCUAGUAGACAGCUUCGCUUUCUGGCCCCAAUGGAUCACUAGCGAAAGAGCAGCGGUUAAUUUUACGUUCUUUAUUCGUUUUGGUGGGCUACAGCCGGAGAGAACGCCGGUGGAAUAAUUUGUUUUUAUCGCUGCCGGUAAAAAACCUUCUGUUCAUACAAAAAGUUCAAUUCGACCAUAACGGCGACAAAUAAAAAAAAGGACCCCCGCAGAGAUGUUAAGAGCAGCCAUUCAUGUCCUCCAUCUCUUGCAAAUCAUAUUAAAACCCAGCAGCUCCAGGUCAUUUUUUCUCUCUCUAACAGCUCUGCCUUUCAGUGGUGUAAAGUACUUUAAAGUACGACUUAAGUGAAGUACUACUUAAGUUAUAGAUUUUUUACAACUUUUACUUUUACUCCGCUACAUUCCUAAAGAAAAGAAUGUACUUUUUACUCCAUACAUUUUCCCUGAAACUCAAAAGUAUGCUUUACAUUUUGAAUGCUUAGCAGACAGAAUUUUUUCCAUUCACACACUGAUCUGGCGAACUCACCAAACACAAAUACUUAAUUUGUCAAUUAUGUCAUCAGUGUGUGAAUGGUACAGUAGGGCCAAGGCAAUUUACCUACCUCAUCCCCAUACUGUUUUUAUUUUAUUUACUUUUCUGCUCUUUUGCACACCAGUAUCUCUACCUGCACAUGUGAUCAUUUAUCACUCCAGUGUUAAUCUACUAAAUUGUAAUUAUUCACUCCUAUGGCCUAUUUAUUGCCUAACUCCUCGUGCCUUUUGCACACAAUGUAUAUAGAUCAUUUUUUCUACUAUGUUAUUGACUUUUUUUAUUGUUUAUUGUUUACUCCAUGUGUAACUCUGUGUUGUUGUCUGUGUCACA
ensembl:lncRNA